GUACAACCACAACAUGAUGUCCCAACUCCUAUACUCAAUGAGAUAUUGUUUGAAAAUGGACUUUCCAGAAAGACGUGUGUUGGAAGAUACUUCAUAUGAAGUAGAUAUAAUUUUUAAAAUGCUUAUGUUCAAAAUAAGCAAAAUUCUUUAAGAAAGAGAACUGCAUCAACUCCCCCUAGCCCAGGCACCGCAAUGAAAGAAUGAGAUUGGACUGUCCCGACUCUCAAAAUCUGCCUGAGGAGGCUGGAAAAGAACAAUAUCUGGCUGUAGAGUGUGUUAUUUCCUUUUCUGAAUAUUAUUCUUUUCCUUUCAAAUUUCCACUUGUUUAAAUGGCACUAUAAAACCAUUAAAUGAUGAAAAGAAA